UACGGAGGGUGCAAGCGUUAAUCGGAAUUACUGGGCGUAAAGCGUGCGUAGGUGGUUCGUUAAGUCCGUUGUGAAAGCCCCUGAGCUCAACUUGGGAAUUGCAGUGGAUACUGGCGAGCUAGAGUGCGGUAGAGGAAGGUGGAAUUCCCGGUGUAGCGGUGAAAUGCGUAGAGAUCGGGAGGAACACCAGUGGCGAAGGCGGCUCACUGGCCCGGUACUGACGCUGAGGUGCGAAAAGCGUGGGGGAGCAAACAGGG
rnacentral:rRNA from 1 species